rnacentral:rRNA from 1 species
GAUGAACGCUAGCGGCAGGCCUAACACAUGCAAGUCGAGGGAGAAGCCCUUUCGGGGGCAGACACCGGCGCACGGGUGCGUAACGCGUAUGCAACCUCCCUUUCACAGGGGGAUAGCCCGAAGAAAUUUGGAUUAAUACCCCAUAAUAUUAUUGGAUGGCAUCAUUUGAUAAUUAAAACUGCGGUGGUGAAAGAUGGGCAUGCGUCCUAUUAGCUAGUUGGAGUGGUAACGGCACCCCAAGGCUACGAUAGGUAGGGGUCCUGAGAGGGAGAUCCCCCACACUGGUACUGAGACAGGGACCAGACUCCUACGGGAGGCAGCAGUGAGUAAGAUUGGGCAAGGGUCGGAAGACUGAACCAGCCAUGCCGCGUGCAGGAAGAAUGCCUUAUGGGUUGUAAACUGCUUUUAUAUGGGAAGAAUAAGGCGUACGUGUACGUUGAUGACGGUACCAUAUGAAUAAGCAUCGGCUAACUCCGUG